rnacentral:rRNA from 1 species
GACGAACGCUGGCGGCGUGCUUAACACAUGCAAGUCGAACGGAAAGGCCCUGCUUUUGUGGGGUGCUCGAGUGGCGAACGGGUGAGUAACACGUGAGUAACCUGCCCUUGACUUUGGGAUAACUUCAGGAAACUGGGGCUAAUACCGGAUAGGAGCUCCUGCUGCAUGGUGGGGGUUGGAAAGUUUCGGCGGUUGGGGAUGGACUCGCGGCUUAUCAGCUUGUUGGUGGGGUAGUGGCUUACCAAGGCAUUGACGGGUAGCCGGCCUGAGAGGGUGACCGGCCACAUUGGGACUGAGAUACGGACCAGACUCCUACGGGAGGCAGCAGUGGGGAAUAUUGCACAAUGGGCGGAAGCCUGAUGCAGCAACGCCGCGUGCGGGAUGCCGGCCUUCGGGUUGUAAACCGCUUUCGCCUGUGACGAAGCGUGAGUGACGGUAAUGGGUAAAGAAGCACCGGCUAACUACGUG